GAUCUAGCAAUGUCAAACAACAUCCUGCUUUAUAUUCUUCGUUAUGGGGCUGGCCACUGUUUUUCUGACACAUUUGAUCAAGUGAAUUGCUUGGCAACACUGGUCAAAUUUGCUAGACAUGAGGACCCUAGGUAAUUUUCAAAAAGAAAAUAAGCUCAUCGGAAACCAUGUUAAUCUUCCUUUUGCUGCUUCACUUUGGACAAAGGGAACAUGUACUCAUAAGAACUAACACUGAAGUGGUUCUAAGGUAAGCACAGUGAAACAUAUCCCAAGUCCCCUGGGCACGAUGACACUCAAGAGGAAGUGUUUCUAAAAAGGGUGGAUCAGUGACAGGCAAUAUGAUGGAGUUCAAUCUCUAAACACCGACCUAGUAAUGUUUGUAUGGGAU